rnacentral:rRNA from 1 species
CAGUAGCCGCGGUAAUACGAAGGGGGCUAGCGUUGCUCGGAAUCACUGGGCGUAAAGGGUGCGUAGGCGGGUCUUUAAGUCAGGGGUGGAAUCCUGGAGCUCAACUCCAGAACUGCCUUUGAUACUGAAGAUCUUGAGUUCGGGAGAGGUGAGUGGAACUGCGAGUGUAGAGGUGAAAUUCGUAGAUAUUCGCAAGAACACCAGUGGCGAAGGCGGCUCACUGGCCCGAUACUGACGCUGAGGCACGAAAGCGUGGGGAGCAAACAGGAUUAGAUACCCCUGUAGUCCCUGUCUCUUAUAA